rnacentral:miRNA from 1 species
GAAGGCUGUGUGCUGUGGAG